UAGGGGAUCUUCCACAAUGGGCGCAAGCCUGAUGGAGCAACACCGCGUGAGUGAAGAAGGGUUUCGGCUCGUAAAGCUCUGUUGUUAAAGAAGAACACGUAUGAGAGUAACUGUUCAUACGUUGACGGUAUUUAACCAGAAAGUCACGGCUAACUACGUGCCAC
rnacentral:rRNA from 1 species